ACGUAGGGUGCUAGCGUUACUCGGAAUCAUUGGGCGUAAAGGGUGUGUAGGUGGAAUUGUAAGUCAGAUGUGAAAGCCUUGGGCUCACCCCAAGAAGUGCAUUUGAUACUGCUAUUCUAGAGUUCGGGAGAGGGAGGCAGAAUUCCAGGUGUAGAGGUGAAAUCCGUAGAUAUCUGGAGGAAUACCGGAGGCGAAGGCGGCCUCCUGGACCGACACUGACACUGAGACACGAAAGCGUGGGUAGCAAACAG
rnacentral:rRNA from 1 species